UACGUAGGGUGCGAGCGUUGUCCGGAAUUAUUGGGCGCAAAGAGCUUGUAGGCGGUUUGUCGCGUCUGCUGUGAAAAUCCGGGGCUCAACCCCGGACUUGCAGUGGGUACGGGCAGACUAGAGUGUGGUAGGGGAGACUGGAAUUCCUGGUGUAGCGGUGGAAUGCGCAGAUAUCAGGAGGAACACCGAUGGCGAAGGCAGGUCUCUGGGCCACUACUGACGCUGAGAAGCGAAAGCAUGGGGAGCGAACAGG
rnacentral:rRNA from 1 species